rnacentral:tRNA from 3 species
GCCAGCAUAGCUCAGUUGGUAGAGCAGCUGAUUCGUAAUCAGCAGGUCAACAGUUCAAUUCUGUUUGCUGGCUCCA